GAUGAUGAGUCCCCCAUAAAAACAUUCCUUGGAAAAGCUGAACAAAAUGAGUGAGAACUCAUACCGUCGUUCUCAUCGGAACUGAGGUCCAGCACGUUGCCUCCACUUGGGCUUACUGUGGUUCAUGCGUAACUUUGUCAUAUUACAUUAUACUUCACCACCCAGGCACUGGCAUUCAAUUUUUGUGGUCAUUUUGACCACAGCAAAAUUCUUUAUCAUAAAUAUAUUUGAGAGUCAUACUUGGGUAGGCCAUGAAUUUUCCUAGUGUUACUCUGUCACGUUGGUUUCACCUUUAAUGCUAGGUUUUGCAUUUUUGUUGCGUGAUUGAUUUUUAGCCAGGUUCUGGUCACCAGUCACAGCCUUUCACCAACAUUCGUGGUGAAAGUUUCCUUGGUUUUUGUUUUUUAUUUUGAGGAAGUACAUAUUUCAUGAAUGUUUCUGCUUUUGUUCCAAUUUUGGGCUGACUGGCAUAUCAUCUCUAUCUUAUCCUGAAUUGAGUAGUGGUACAAGUUUUUGGCUUUCCGCAUCCAGGGCACCAAGUCUUUUGUACACAGAUUGCAAGUAUUGAAGCCAUGGUGUUGAUUGGGAUGCUCUGUGUCCAUGCUUUUUAGUGGCAUAAUGCCCUCCCAGCGUACCCGGAAUCCACAUGUGCACCUUUAUAUGUGUGUUUCUGUGAACACAAAUAUGUGAAGCCAUAGACUAGCAGAUUUCAUAAGUACCACAGGAGUCUAGAUGACAUGGCCUUCCUGACCUGUGAACCUGUCUUUCUGAAGCACACUCAUUUCCUCUGCACCUUCCCAGUGUCAUUGCAUGGAAGGAAGACCCUUGUCCAAGAAGGAUGGUCUUUGUCUUGUGUGAUCUUUGAGAUGCCAUGAGGCCCCUGGAUACACAUGGUGUGGGCUCCUUUGGAGGCUUUUGGAUUUCUCAUGAAUGUGGCGUUGGUAUGGAAGGAAGGCCAGUGACCACAAGGGACGAUCUUGAUCUUGGGAGAUUUUUGGAGAUGGUGAAGUGCCUGUAAACAUGUGUGUCAUGGUUUCCUUCAGGCUGGUGGACACCUCAGGACAGUGGCCUGGCAUGGAAGGAGGGACUGUGUCUGCGAGGGAUGAUCAUCCUCCCAUGUGAUCCUUGGAGAUGCCAGGAAGCCUCUUGACACAUGUGGCAUGGGCUCCUUCAGAGGCUUUUGGGUCCUUCGUGAAUGUGGCAUGGGCAUGCAAAGAAAGACAGAGGCUGCAGGGAUGAACUUCAUCUUGGGGGAUCUCUGGAGUUGGUAGGGAACCCCUGGACACAUGUGGCAUGGGCUCCUUCUGGUGCUGGUGGAUCCCUUUAUAUGGUGGACGUGAUGAAUUGGCCAGGCCCAUGUUGGUGAGGGACAAUCAUCAUCUCAUGCUGUUCUCAGAGAUGCCGGGAAGCUCCUGGACACACAUGGUGUAGGCUUCUUUGGAGGCUGUUGGAUUCCUCCUGAGUGUGAUGUUGGUGUAGAAGGCAAACCCAUAUCAUGAGGGAUGAUCAUCAUCUUGUGUGGUCCUUGGAGAUGGCAGGAAGCUCUGGACAUACACGGUGUUCGCUCCUUCAGAGGCUGUUGGAGUCCUCCUGGAUGUGGUGUGGGCAUGGAAGGAAGGCCAGUGGAGACAAUGGAUGGUCUUGCCCUUAGAAGAUCACUGGAGGUGGCAGGGAGUCCUAGGACAUGUGUGGUGUGGACCUCUUCAGGUGGUGUUGGCAUGAAAGGAAAGGAGGUAUCUUUGAGGGACAAUCUUCGCCUUGUGUGAUCCUCGGAGAUGCCACGAGGACUCUGGACAUGUGGUGUGGGCUCCUUUGGAGGCUGUUGAAUCCCUUCUGAAUGUGGUGCGGGCAUAGAAGGAAGGCCAUGAGGGACAAUCUUGGUCUUGGGAGAUCCCUGGAAAUGAUAGGGAGCCCCUUGAUAUGUGUGGCAUGGGCUCCUUCAGGUGCUAGCGCUUUCCUCAGGAUGGUGGUGUUGGCGUAAAAGGCAGGCUUGUAUCAUGAGGAGUGAUUGUCAUCUCGUAUGAUCCUUGGAGAUGGCAGGAAGCCCCUGGACACACAUGUUGUGGACUCCUUCAGAGGCUGUUGAAACCUUCCUUAAUAUGAGGCCAGAGACAGGUGGACAGCAAAUGUAUCGCAGCGGGCUGGAUGACGUGGCCGUUGGAACCUGUGCACAUGCCUGCCUUUCUGAUACACGUCCGUGUUUUCUCUACAUCUCCCCAGUGGUGUUGGUGUAAAAAGCAGGCUCAUGUUAGCAAGGGAUGAUUGUCAUCUCGUGUGAUCCUGGGAGAUGGCGGAAGUCCGGGGACACGUGGAGUGUGGGCUCCUUUGGAGGCUGAUGGAACCCUCCUGAGUGAGUUGUGGCAAUGGAAGUAAGGCCAGUGGCUACGAGGGACAGUCUUCAUCUUGGGAGAUCCAUCGAGAUGGCAGGGAGCCCCUUGACAUGUGGAAUGUGGUCUCCCUCGGGUGCUGGUGGAUCCCACAGGUGGUCUGGCAUGGAAGAGGGCCACAGGCUACGAUGGAUGAUCUUUGUCUUGGGAGAUUCCUGGAGAUGGUGGGGAGCCCCUGGGCACGUGCGGCACAUGUGGCAUGGGCUUCUUCAGGAGCUGGUGGACCCCUCAGGAUGAUCUUCAAGGUUUUUCUCUGAGUUCUGUUAAAGAGUCGGAAAGGGGAGCCUAGAAGACGUGCUUCGGUUUCCAGGAUGGUUGUGUUUCCCAGAGAGGCGUAGGUAAACCAUGGGCGCAGCUCUGCCUCCCACAGAUAAUUCCGGUUCAUUGUGGAACCAGCACAGAUUUUCAUAGGAAAGUUAUUUUUUUUAACCUCAAAAAGUGACAGAAUGGAGUGUAUCAUGGAAAAGUCUGACAUAAAACCCUCAAAAUGUGAUAUUGAUUGGGCGAGAUAGAAUUCCAUGGAAUUUCAUUGCCAAACCAGUGAAGUGCUAAUUUUGACAUUUGUACCAGCUAAUGUAGCUGUGAAGAAGCACACCAAUACCACUUCUAAGAUUCAUAUACAUACGCUCUUCCGACAGCACAGCAUAGACCAAGAACUGGGUUUCAUAUGGAUGAAUUUAUUCUUCCUUUGAGGCAAGACAAGAAGGAAAGAAGGUAUUGGGACUACUGCUGCCUUCCCAUCCUCAAGGGCCAGUGGGAACUCUAAUAUUGAUUGGGUGAGAUACAAUUCCACGAAAUUUUACCACUGAACCAGUGAAGGGCUAAUUUUGUCAUUUGUACCAGUUAACUAAUUUGGGAGGAAACAGAACAACACACUCCUGAGAUUGGUUGUCACAGAAUUCCGUGGACUUUAACCAGUGAUGCGCUGAUUUUGUCAUUUGUACCAGCUAACUCAUCUGGGAGGCAACAAAACAAUAUUCUCCUGAGGUUAAUGUGGACGAAGAACUAGAUUUCAUGUAAAAAGAGUUUAUUCCUUCUAUUUGAGGUGUGACAUGAAGGAAAGUAAUGGAAAUAAUUCUGCCCUCCCAUUCUCAAGGGCCAGGGGGAAUUCUAAUAUUGAUCGGCAUGAACCAAGAACUGGGUUUCAUAUGAAAUAUUUUACUCUGUCCUCUUGAGAUGUGACAUGAAGAAAAGUAUUCAGAAUAUUUCUAUCACCUCAUCUUCAAGAAUCAGUAGGAAUUCUCCCAUGGUUCCGUGUGAUACUAGAGUUGCAUGGAUUUUUAAUCUUUACACCAAUGAAGAUCAGAGGCAAACAGUGCCCUUUAUUUAGAAGUUUGCAUGUGUCACUGAUAACUGUAAUAAUUGAUCUUGUUGAAAAGUCUGGGAAAUGAAGAUCUGAUAUGUCACUUUUACCAGCUUCCUCAACUGAGAAAGAAUACAGUGAAACAU